UUAGUAAGCAUCCAAAAAUAACUUUAAAAUAAAUAUAUAUAAAGGUCUCUUACGUGCAAUAUUCUUAUCCAACACAUCGAUCGCGAUUCAUUGGCAGUAAAAUACAAACAAGUUAAACUCUCGCGUCAAUCUAAAAGUAUGAGGUUGAUAUCGGUAAAAGUGGUUUUCCUUUUUUUGCUUUUCUUAUCGUCCUUUUUUCUUGUAAACUAUUGUAAAGAAAUCUCUGAAGAUGACAAAUCAAUAAUGGAAUCAAUACCUAACUGGGUAAAAUCCGUAGAGAAAUAUGUCAUCGCAGGUUUGAACAUAUUCCAAGAUUACGCAGCAAAA
rnacentral:lncRNA from 1 species